rnacentral:lncRNA from 1 species
AAAUAUUUGUAAUUAAACAGUGAGAAGAUCAGUGUGCAGCUGUCAGUAAAGUUCUUUGUAGUAUUUUAGUCUUCAAUUACUCUCUACAGAUAGAUAAAAUUUACUCAUUAUUUGUUAUCUUUCUGUGUUCCCAGGUUACAACUACAUCAAAGCACAUAUUUAAUUCCCAUGUUACUUCAACAGCAAGAUAUGUGCACAGAUUGACCUGAAGAAAAAAAGACUGCCACCCAUACGAAGCUUGGAUUUUACUGCUGUAGCACUCUGUAAUAGGUAUGAUCCUGAAUCUCCCAUAAGACUUAUUUUUUGGGCUUUACAUC